rnacentral:tRNA from 1 species
UCCUCAGUAGCUCAGCAGUGGUAGAGAGCGGUCGUCGGCCUGUUGUUAACUGCUGACUGGUCGUAGGUUCGAAUCCUACUUGGGGAG